UCAGGACGAGAUGUUGUCAUUCUGUCUUCUCUCCUGCCCGCAUAGAGAUACGGUGGCUUCAGGCGUUAUUAAAGUUGCUCAUUUAAGCGCCCUCAUGUUUGUUCGUACCAAUUUUAAUGGACGGGAAGCUGACGGACGAACAUCCUUUUUCCGAGAAAUGGUUCGGCUACGACACGUGUUAAGAAGUCACGCCAGGGGCUGAAUUAAGGUCGACCGUUUCAGCUGCAUUGAUGUGAAGUGAUGCAGUGGACAACUUGUGAGGGUGAUACCAUCCACAUGCACCUUAACUGUGAUGCAGAAAUACAAUAGGAUGAUCCAUCUGUCUACACUUCAAAAUCACAACUCAACCUUAAACAACCCAUAUCUGUUAUGGUAAAACAAUGUGGCGGUUUUCCAGACUGGGGUUAUACUGUUCCCAGGCUAAAAUGCAUGUUUGAGCUACUGUAAUUAAGAAAACACCUUGUACUGAUACAUCUCAACAUAUAUCAGUGCCAUUGUCUUGUUUUUGUAAGGUUUGUUUGUAAAAACUAAAAUGUCCUAAUAUAAGUGCCCAGUCAACAAAUAUAAUAUAAGUGCCCAGCCCAGUAAACAAAGGGUUUCCAAACUGUGUCCUGCAAAGUUUAGCUCUAACCCUAAUCAAACACACCUGAAGCAGCCAAUUAAGGUCUUAAGCAUACUAGAAACUUACUGGCAGGUGCUCUGAUGCAAGUUAGAGCUAAACUCUGCAGGACACCGGCCCUCCAGGACUGAGUUUGGGCACCCCUGACUAAGCCCUGCCUGGGAAACUGCACCAAUGUGUUAAGCUGGCACCAUUGGACAUUACUGCUGCUGAGAAACAACCACAUUUCUCAGCUCUACACAGGGUUGACAUUGGAUGCAUUAUUAUUAUAAAAUGCAUUCAUGUGCACUUUACCAAUACUGUACAUACAUCAACAGCUUCCAGCUAUACACUUGGGAUCAGCUCCUGAUGCCUCUCAUAAUGCUGUGUUAUAAUUUAUUGCAGGGUGAUCUUGCUGAAAGGAUAUUUUUAUAAACCUUUACAAUGUCACCAGAUGUUACCUGUUGUGAAUAAUUAUUUUAUAAACCUUUACAAUCUCACCAGUUGUUACAUGUUGUGCAUAGUUAUUUUUAUAAACCUUUACAAUGUCA